rnacentral:tRNA from 1 species
GGCCGCGUAGCUCAGUUGGUAGAGCAGCGGAUUGAAAAUCCGCGUGUCACUGGUUCGAUUCCGGUCGCGGCCACCA